rnacentral:rRNA from 1 species
GAUGAACGCUGGCGGCGUGCUUAACACAUGCAAGUUGAACGGGGCUACCUGGAUAGAGGAUUCGUCCAAUUGAAGGGUAUGCCUAGUAGCGGACGGGUGAGUAACGCGUGAGUAACCUGCCUAGGAGUGGGGAAUAACAGUUCGAAAGGACUGCUAAUACCGCAUAAUGCAAUUAGGUCGCAUGGCCUUGAUUGCCAAAGAUUUAUCGCUCUUAGAUGGACUCGCGUCUGAUUAGCUAGUUGGCGGGGUAACGGCCCACCAAGGCGACGAUCAGUAGCCGGACUGAGAGGUUGACCGGCCACAUUGGGACUGAGACACGGCCCAGACUCCUACGGGAGGCAGCAGUGGGGAAUAUUGGGCAAUGGGCGCAAGCCUGACCCAGCAACGCCGCGUGAAGGAAGAAGGCUUUCGGGUUGUAAACUUCUUUUAUUCGGGUACGAACAAAUAGACGGUACCGAAUGAAUAAGCCACGGCUAACUACGUGCCAGCAG